AUUGAACGCUGGCGGCAUGCCUUACACAUGCAAGUCGAACGGCAGCACGGGGCAACCUGGUGGCGAGUGGCGAACGGGUGAGUAAUGCAUUGGAACGUACCUUUCAGUGGGAGAUAACGUAGCGAAAGUUACGCUAAUACCGCAUAUUCUGUGAGCAGGAAAGCAGGGGAUCGCAAGACCUUGCGCUGAUUGAGCGGCCGAUGUCAGAUUAGCUAGUUGGUGAGGUAAAGGCUCACCAAGGCGACGAUCUGUAGCGGGUCUGAGAGGAUGAUCCGCCACACUGGAACUGAGACACGGUCCAGACUCCUACGGGAGGCAGCAGUGGGGAAUUUUGGACAAUGGGGGCAACCCUGAUCCAGCCAUGCCGCGUGAGUGAAGAAGGCCUUCGGGUUGUAAAGCUCUUUCGGCCGGGAAGAAAUCGCACGGGCUAAUACCCUGUGUGGAUGACGGUACCGGAAUAAGAAGCACCGGCUAACUACGUGCCAGCCGCCGCAGUAACAC
rnacentral:rRNA from 1 species